rnacentral:pre_miRNA from 1 species
CAUGUACUCCCUCCGUUUGGAAAUACUUGUCAUUGAAAUGGAUGUAUCUAGAUGUAUUUUAGUUCUAGAUACAUCCAUUUUGAUGACAAGUAAUUCCGAACGGAGGGAGUAGUUU